GAUGAACGCUAGCGGCAGGCCUAACACAUGCAAGUCGAGGGGUAGAAGCUUUCGGGCAUUGAGACCGGCGCACGGGUGCGUAACGCGUAUGCAAUCUGCCUUGUACUGAGGGAUAGCCCAGGGAAAUUUGGAUUAACACCUCAUAGUAUUUUUGCCUGGCAUCAGGUGAUUAUUAAAGGUUACGGUACAAGAUGAGCAUGCGUCCCAUUAGCUAGUUGGUAUGGUAACGGCAUACCAAGGCUACGAUGGGUAGGGGUCCUGAGAGGGAGAUCCCCCACACUGGUACUGAGACACGGACCAGACUCCUACGGGAGGCAGCAGUGAGGAAUAUUGGUCAAUGGGCGCAAGCCUGAACCAGCCAUGCCGCGUGCAGGAUGAAGCAUCUAUGGUGUGUAAACUGCUUUUGUACGGGAAGAAACACUGCUACGUGUAGCAGCUUGACGGUACCGUAAGAAUAAGGAUCGGCUAACUCCGUGCCAGCCGCCGCAGUAAGAC
rnacentral:rRNA from 1 species